UAUCCUCCUCCUCCCAGCCCACUCUCAUGGCGGCGCACCGGCGCUUGCUCCGCCGCCCUUCCGCUCGCCCCACCGCCCUCCCCUAGCAUGACCGCCCAGCAUCGUGUCCUGUAGCCUCGCCGCCCUCCCCGGGCCCCCGACGUCGGCCUCUAACGAUCCCGACGAGGCCCGACGCCGACCUCACAGGACCCCGCGAGGCCCGACGCCGUCCUCCCAGGUCCUCCACGGCAGCUGCUGGGGUGGCCUCCCAGGCUCCCGACGCCGCUCUCCCAGGCCCUCGACAGCAACUUCCGACUCGGCUCUCCCCAGCAGCUCAAUGCCAUCCUCCCAGGGCCCUCAACCUUAUUCGAUGGGCAAUUUCAAAGUAGAAAUAGAUGUCCAGCCUUACUUGACGAUUGUAGAUGGCAGAAGAGUGUACAUAAGGGGCAAAACCUGGAAUUUUAUGGCCGAUCGAGGCUUGUCUGUGGCGCGGAUAAAGGAGGUUGUGGAGGAGAGGUACAAAUGGUCUGCUGAUCAGAGAAUGACCAUCUGGUAUGGAUCCGGAGAUAACGCUGUCCCUUUGAUCUCUGAAUCAGAGAUAGCUCAAUUGUUUGAUACAUGUUCUAACACAAAAGUAGUUAGGUUCGGUGUGACCAUUGAGAGCAAACAACAACGCAAUGAACCUGCUCCUGUCAUGACUAAGGAGAUGGAUGAUCAGCCGGUUCACGCUCCAUUCUUUGCUUGGCCAAAGCAAGCCUAUGAAGGAGAGUAUGAGGAUGAUGAGCCUGUGGGAUGGAAUCAGGAGAACACCUAUUUGCAUGAGGAGAAUGCUGAAUCAAAGGAGAAUGUCGCACCACAAAGGCUGCAAGAAUUCCAUUGGGAACCCUGGAUGUUGACAACUCUUAUGAUCCACAACAUGUGCGAGGGGAUGAUGAGGCUUUACUUGCGAACAAUAUGGCUCCUACUUAUAUCCAUGAUGAAAACAAUCCUCGAAUUGAAGUAGGAGCCACAUUUCCUAACUCUAAAGCAUUUAGAGUUGCAUUGAGACAACUAGCAAUUAGAGAAGAUUGGUCCUUUGGCACGCAGUAUAGUGACACUCAGAGAUUUAGGGCUAAUUGCACUGAUGAGGAUCGUCCAUGGAGAAUACAUGCCUCAAAGUUACCGAACACUAAAACUUUCAUGGUAAAGAAACUUCCUAGUGUGAUAAAGGAGUUGAAUUUGAAAAGCAAGGGGCUGCAUUAUUUGGAAGCAAGAGCAUCGCCAAAUAUAGCUGAGAUAUCAGGAAAUGGAUGGAGGCACACCGUUAACUUGGAGAAAAAUGAGUGCUCUUGUAGGAGAUGGCAGAUUUGUGGACUUGUGGUAAGCCAUGCACACAUGCUCUUCGGUCAUAUUCUCCAAAAAAGCCAAGCUAGAGGAUUAUAUUGAUGAGUGCUUCUCAGUGGCAAGGUUCAAAGCGACAUAUGAGGGAAUUCUCAUGCCAAUUAGGGGCAGGUCCCAAUGGCCCAAGGUAAAUCCUGAAUUUGAUAUGAUCCCUCCCAAGCUUACCAAGAGUGCUGGACGUCCAAUAACUAGGAGGAUAAAGAAUUACACCGAAGGUGGAACCGGCAGAAAACAUAAAUGCAAAAGGUGUGGAGCAUUAGGUCAUCUUCGGAAGACAUGCAAGGAGCGAGAGAUUGAAAGUGACGUGGACCGAGAUGCUACUCCUCCUCCAUGGAAAAAAUCAAAGGUUGAAGCAAGCAUUGCAGCUACUUCUUAUCCUACUACACCAACUAAGCAAGGUACUCAACUUGGUACUCCUACAAGUCCAAUGACAAGGCAAAGGGCAGCAGCUAUUGCAAUUGCUUCAACACCUCCUAGUGCCUCUACAAGGAGCAAAACUGCUGCUUCUAGCCCUCUUCGCAAUGUCAUUUGAAGGAGGAUAUCAGCAAGCUUUUGGAUGUUGAGCGCUCCAGAUCAGUUAUAUGGAUUUUGGUUCGUCAAUCAGGGAGAGCAGAGAGCUGCAUUUCCUUAGUCAGUUGCAGUCUAACUGUUUUUAUUAUAACUUGUAGCAGAUUAAUUAGAUGCUAUGUAACCGGAGCAAGUACUCCUAUCCUAUGGUACGAUGACUGUUUGCAACUGGGCUUGCAUGCUUAGUAGCAGAAUGGUGUAUGUGAUCAAGAGGUGCUCUUUUGCUAA